GCCCGCUUGGUGGAAUGGUAGACACAACAGACUUAAAAUCUGUCGGCCUCUGGCCGUGCCAGUUCGAGUCUGGCAGCGGGCACCA
rnacentral:tRNA from 1 species